AUAACGGUCCUAAGGUAGCGAAAUUCCUUGUCGGGUAAGUUCCGACCUGCACGAAAGGCGCAACGAAUUGGGCGCUGUCUCGACCAUGGACCCGGUGAAAUUCCACUAGUCGUGAAGAUGCGACUUACCCGCGGAAGGACGGAAAGACCCCGUGAACCUUCACUGCAGCUUGGCAUUGGCCGCUGGCCCGUCGCGUAGAGGAUAGGCGGGAGGCUUCGAAGCCCGGGCGCCAGCCCGGGUGGAGCCGACCUUGGAAUACCGCCCUCGGCGCGCCGGCGUCCUAACCCCAUGCCGUCAUCCGGAUGGGGGACCGUGCCAGGUGGGUAGUUUGACUGGGGCGGUCGCCUCCUAAAGGGUAACGGAGGCGCGCGAAGGUCCGCUCGGGACGGUCGGCAACCGUCCUCUUGAGUGCAAGAGCAUAAGCGGGCUUGACUGCGAGGCCUACAAGCCGAGCAGGUGCGAAAGCAGGCUCUAGUGAUCCGGCGGCCCCGCGUGGGUGGGCCGUCGCUCAACGGAUAAAAGGUACUCCGGGGAUAACAGGCUGAUCUUGCCCAAGAGUCCACAUCGACGGCAAGGUUUGGCACCUCGAUGUCGGCUCAUCGCAUCCUGGGGCUGAAGUCGGUCCCAAGGGUUGGGCUGUUCGCCCAUUAAAGCGGUACGCGAGCUGGGUUCAGAACGUCGUGAGACAGUUCGGUCCCUAUCCUCCGCGGGCGCAGGAGAAUCGAGGGAGGCUGCCCCUAGUACGAGAGGACCGGGGUGGACGCACCUCUGGUGAACCGGUUGUCGACCAACGGCACGGCCGGGUAGCCACGUGCGGCGCGGAUAACCGCUGAAGGCAUCUAAGCGGGAAGCCGUUCCCGAGAUCAGUUCUCCUUCCGGUAAGGGCCCAGGUAGACUACCUGGUCGAUAGGCCGCAGGUGCAAGCACGGCGACGUGCUCAGCCGAGCGGUACUAAUAGCCCGAGCUCUUACCCG
rnacentral:rRNA from 1 species